GAAUUUUAUAAAUGUUAAGUUAAAAUUUAUUAAUAUUAAUAUUUCUUUGGUUGGGGGGACAUUUAAAUUAAAUUAACUUUAAAUUAGUUAAUAACAUUAAUUAAUGAGUAAUUAAUUGAUUUUAAUGAUUAAGAUUAUAUUUAUAAUAGAAUAAAUUACCUUAGGGAUAACAGCGUUAUAUUUUUGGAGAGUUCGUAUUGAUAAAAAUGUUUGU
rnacentral:rRNA from 1 species